rnacentral:rRNA from 1 species
GGCGAGUGAGCGGUAAAAGCUCAAAUUUGAAAUCUGGUACUUUCAGUGCCCGAGUUGUAAUUUGUAGAAUUUGUCUUUGAUUAGGUCCUUGUCUAUGUUCCUUGGAACAGGACGUCAUAGAGGGUGAGAAUCCCGUUUGGCGAGGAUACCUUUUCUCUGUAAGACUUUUUCGAAGAGUCGAGUUGUUUGGGAAUGCAGCUCAAAGUGGGUGGUAAAUUCCAUCUAAAGCUAAAUAUUGGCGAGAGACCGAUAGCGAACAAGUACAGUGAUGGAAAGAUGAAAAGAACUUUGAAAAGAGAGUGAAAA